UGUGAAUAUGAGUCUGAAGUGUAUGGAAAUGGAGAGAGGUUCACCUCAAAGAGAGACCCCUGCCUCCAAUGCUGCUGCUCUGCAGGUGAAGUGUCCUGUAUAAACAUGUCUGGAUCAUGUCCUACACCACACUGUACUCAUCCAGCUAAACACAGAGGAGAGUGUUGUGCCACAUGCAAUAACUGUGAGUAUGAACAAAGGGUGUAUACUGAUGGGGAAAUGCUCAGGCUUCCUGGGAGUGGACCCUGCCUGCACUGCAGGUGUAAGG